AAUUAUGGUGGGGCGUGCGGGGGAGUCGUAAGACUCGCCGGUUCGUCAUUGUGUCCGGUAGUUCCAACCCUGCACGUCUCACCACCCAA
rnacentral:antisense_RNA from 1 species